UACAGAGGGUGCAAACGUUGUUCGGAAUCACUGGGCAUAAAGCGCACGUAGGCGGCACGCUAAGUGUGGAGUGAAAUCCCACGGCUUACCCGUGGAACUGCUCUGCAUACUGGCGAGCUCGAGGACGGUAGGGGAGAGCGGAACUCUUGGUGGAGCGGUGAAAUGCGUAGAUAUCAAGAGGAACACCGAUGGCGAAGGCAGCUCUCUGGUCCGUUUCUGACGCUGAGGUGCGAAAGCUAGGGUAUCGAACGGG
rnacentral:misc_RNA from 1 species